rnacentral:rRNA from 1 species
GAGUUUGAUCCUGGCUCAGGACGAACGCUGGCGGCGUGCCUAACACAUGCAAGUCGAACGAGAUCCAUGAGAGCUUGCUCUCGGAAGAUCUAGUGGCGAACGGGUGAGUAACACGUGAGAAACCUGCCCUGGAGUGGGGAAUAACUCGGGGAAACUCGAGCUAAUACCGCAUACCCUCGGAUGGUCGCAUGGCCGACCGAGGAAAGAUUUAUCGCUCUAGGAGGGUCUCGCGGCCUAUCAGCUAGUUGGUGGGGUAACGGCCUACCAAGGCAACGACGGGUAGCUGGUUUGAGAGAACGAUCAGCCACACUGGGACUGAGACACGGCCCAGACUCCUACGGGAGGCAGCAGUGGGGAAUCUUGCGCAAUGGGCGAAAGCCUGACGCAGCAACGCCGCGUGCGGGAUGACGGCCUUCGUGGUUGUAAACCGCUUUCAGCAGGGACGAAAAUGACGGUACCUGCAGAAGAAGCCCCGGCUAACUACGUGCCAGCAGCCGCGGUAAUACGUAGGGGGCAAGCGUUGUCCGGAUUCAUUGGGCGUAAAGAGCUCGUAGGCGGUUCAGUAAGUCGGGUGUGAAAGCUCCGAGCUCAACUCGGAGAGGCCACCCGAUACUGCUGUGACUUGAGUCCAGUAGAGGAGCGUGGAACUCCUGGUGUAGCGGUGGAAUGCGCAGAUAUCAGGAAGAACACCUGCAGCGAAGGCGGCGCUCUGGGCUGGAACUGACGCUGAGGAGCGAAAGCAUGGGUAGCAAACAGGAUUAGAUACCCUGGUAGUCCAUGCCGUAAACGUUGGGCACUAGGUGUGGGGAGCCGUCAACGCUCUCUGUGCCGUAGCUAACGCAUUAAGUGCCCCGCCUGGGGAGUACGGCCGCAAGGCUAAAACUCAAAGGAAUUGACGGGGGCCCGCACAAGCGGCGGAGCAUGUUGCUUAAUUCGAGGCAACGCGAAGAACCUUACCUAGGUUGAACUAUGCAGGAAAAGCCACAGAGAUGUGGUGUCCUUCGGGGCCUGCGAUAGGUGGUGCAUGGCUGUCGUCAGCUCGUGUCGUGAAAUGUUGGGUUAAGUCCCGCAACGAGCGCAACCCUUAUCCUAUGUUGCCAGCGCGUAAUGGCGGGGACUC